rnacentral:rRNA from 1 species
GACGAACGCUGGCGGCGUGCUUAACACAUGCAAGUCGAACGGAAAGGCCCUGCUUUUGUGGGGUGCUCGAGUGGCGAACGGGUGAGUAACACGUGAGUAACCUGCCCUUGACUUUGGGAUAACUUCAGGAAACUGGGGCUAAUACCGGAUAGGAGCUCCUGCUGCAUGGUGGGGGUUGGAACGUUUCGGCGGUAGGGGAUGGACUCGCGGCUUAUCAGCUUGUUGGUGGGGUAGUGGCUUACCAAGGCUUUGACGGGUAGCCGGCCUGAGAGGGUGACCGGCCACAUUGGGACUGAGAUACGGACCAGACUCCUACGGGGGGCAGCAGUGGGGAAUAUUGCACAAUGGGCGGAAGCCUGAUGCAGCAACGCCGCGUGCGGGAUGACGGCCUGCGGGUUGUAAACCGCUUUCGCCUGUGACGAAGCGUGAGUGACGGUAAUGGGUAAAGAAGCACCGGCUAACUACGUG